rnacentral:piRNA from 1 species
UAGAGAGCUUUUAACUGUUCUGUGGUAGG